GGUGAGGUGUCGAGUGGCUGGAAGGAGCACGCUGGAAAGUGUGUAUACGGCAACGUAUCAGGGGUUCGAAUCCCCCCUCACCGCCA
rnacentral:tRNA from 1 species